rnacentral:rRNA from 1 species
GACGAACGCUGGCGGCGUGCUUAACACAUGCAAGUCGAACGGAAAGGCCCCUUUGGGGGUCCUCGAGUGGCGAAGGGGGGAGUAACAGGGGAGUAACCAUCCCUUGACUUUGGGAUAACUUUAGGAAACUGGGGCUAUUACCGGUAAGGAAUCCUUGCUGCAUGGGGGGGGUUGGAAAGCUUCGGCGGUUUUGGCUGGACUCGCGGCUUAUCAGCUUGUUGGUGGGGUAGUGGCUUACCGAGGCUUUGACGGGUAGCCGGCCUGAGGGGGCGACCGGCCACCUUGGGACUGAGAUACGGCCCAGACUCCUACGGGAGGCAGCAGUGGGGAAUCUUGCACAAUGGGCGGCAGCCUGAUGCAGCAACGCCGCGUGCGGGAUGACGGCCUUCGGGUUGUAAACCGCUUUCAGCAGGGGCGAAGCUUGUGGUGACGGUACCUGCAGAAGAAGCACCGGCUAACUACGUG